rnacentral:rRNA from 1 species
UACAGAGGGUGCGAGCGUUGUCCGGAAUCCCUGGGCGUAAAGGGCGCGUAGGUGGUGGCUUAAGCGUGCGGUGAAAGCUCGGGGCUCAACUCCGAGUCGGCCGUGCGAACUGGGCUCACUGGAGCAUAGUAGAGGCAGGUGGAAUUCCGGGUGUAGCGGUGGAAUGCGUAGAGAUCCGGAAGAACACCGGUGGCGAAGGCGGGUCUCUGGGCCGAUACUGACGCUGAGGAGCGAAAGCGUGGGGAGCGAACAGG